rnacentral:rRNA from 1 species
AUGAACGCUGGCGGCGUGCCUAAUACAUGCAAGUCGCGCGAACAGACGAGGAGCUUGCUCCUUUGACGUUAGCGGCGGACGGGUGAGUAACACGUGGAUAACCUACCUAUAAGACUGGGAUAACUUCGGGAAACCGGAGCUAAUACCGGAUAAUAUAUUGAACCGCAUGGUUCAAUAGUGAAAGACGGUUUUGCUGUCACUUAUAGAUGGAUCCGCGCCGCAUUAGCUAGUUGGUAAGGUAACGGCUUACCAAGGCAACGAUGCGUAGCCGACCUGAGAGGGUGAUCGGCCACACUGGAACUGAGACACGGUCCAGACUCCUACGGGAGGCAGCAGUAGGGAAUCUUCCGCAAUGGGCGAAAGCCUGACGGAGCAACGCCGCGUGAGUGAUGAAGGUCUUCGGAUCGUAAAACUCUGUUAUUAGGGAAGAACAAAUGUGUAAGUAACUAUGCACGUCUUGACGGUACCUAAUCAGAAAGCCACGGCUAACUACGUG